GACAGAGGAUGCAAGCGUUAUCCGGAAUGAUUGGCGUAAAGCGUCUGUAGGUGGCUUUUUAAGUCCGCCGUCAAAUCCCAGGCUCAACCCUGGACAUGGCGGUGGAAACUACCAAGCUGGAGUACGGUAGGGGCAGAGGGAAUUUCCGGUGGAGCGGUGAAAUGCGUAGGAGAGUCGGAAAGAACACCAACGGCGAAAGACUCUGCUGGGCCGACACUGACACUGA
rnacentral:rRNA from 1 species